rnacentral:rRNA from 1 species
UGUAAGCGUAUACCAAAGUUGUUGCAGUUAAAACGCUCGUAGUCGGAAUUUGGCAGUUCCGGAAGUGUGCACGUCGUGUGCGCACUUUGCGGGGACUGCUUUUGUGGUCUUGCGUAGGAUGAGGCACUUUCAUUAGUGAACGUCCUCACGCAACCACUCUUUACUGUGAGAAAAUCAGAGUGCUCAAAGCAGGCAUUUGCCGUGAAUGUAUUAGCAUGGAACAAUAGAAUAGGACUCGGUUCUAUUUUGUUGGUUUGUUGGGACUGAGUAAUGAUUAAGAGGGACAGUUGGGGGCAUUUGUAUUCCGGCGCUAGAGGUGAAAUUCUUAGAUUGCCGGAAGACAAACUGCUGCGAAAGCGUCUGCCAAGGAUGUUUUCAUUGA